rnacentral:rRNA from 1 species
AGCGAACGCUGGCGGCAGGCCUAACACAUGCAAGUCGAACGAACCUUUCGGGUUUAGUGGCGGACGGGUGAGUAACACGUGGGAACGUGCCUUUAGGUUCGGAAUAACUCAGGGAAACUUGUGCUAAUACCGAAUGUGCCCUUCGGGGGAAAGAUUGAUCGCCUUUAGAGCGGCCCGCGUCUGAUUAGCUAGUUGGUUGAGGUAAUGGCUCACCAAGGCGACGAUCAGUAGAUGGUCUGAGAGAAUGAUCAGCCACAUUGGGACUGAGACACGGAACAAAAAAGGACGGGAGGAAGGAGUGGGGAAUGAAGAAAAAUGGGGGAAAGAAUGAAGAAGAAAUGAGGGGUGAAAGAUGAAGGGGUUAGGAGAGAAAAAAAAUAUAAAAGGGGAAGAGAAAGACGGGAAAGGGAGAAGAAGAAACGGAUAACUACGUG